AUGAUAGAUCUCACGGCGGCAGUUCGUUCUUCGGCGAAGGAGAAAAGUGGAAGAUUAUGCGUAGAAUAUGUACAAAGUGUCUGGUUAGUGAAUGUUCAAAAUAAGAAUUUUGUAAAGAUGCGAAGAAAUUAUUGUGAACGUUUUAUGGUUAGAAAAAAUUGGGCUCAAAGAUUUAAUAAAAAUAAAGGAACCAUCAUCAUUUGGUUUGAUCAAACUAAUUAA